rnacentral:rRNA from 1 species
AGUGGCGGACGGGUGAGUAAUGCGCAAGAACCUGCCCUUAGACGGGGGAUACCUGUUGGAAACGAUAGCUAAUACCCCAUAUGCUGAGAAGUGAAAGGAGGAAUCUAUCUAAGGAGGGGCUUGCGUCUGAUUAGCUUGUUGGUGAGGUAAAGGCUUACCAAGGCAUUGAUCAGUAGCUGGUUUGAGAGAAUGAUCAGCCACACUGGGACUGAGACACGGCCCAGACUCCUACGGGAGGCAGCAGUGGGGAAUUUUCCGCAAUGGGCGAAAGCCUGACGGAGCAAUGCCGCGUGAAGGAUUUAAGGCCUACGGGUCGUAAACUUCUUUUCUCAGAGAAGAAGAUAUGACGGUAUCUGAGGAAUAAGCAUCGGCUAACUCUGUGCCAGCAGCCGCGGUAAGACAGAGGAUGCAAGCGUUAUCCGGAAUGAUUGGGCGUAAAGCGUAUGUAGGUGGUUUGACAAGUCUACUGUUAAAUCCCAGAGCUUAACUCUGGUCAAGCGGUAGAAACUGUUGGACUUGAGUACGGUAGGAGUAAAGGGAAUUUUCGGUGGAGCGGUGAAAUGUGUUGAUAUCGGAAAGAACACCAAAGGCGAAAGCACUUUGCUAGGCCGAAACUGACACUGAGAUACGUAAGCUAGGGUAGCGAAUGGGAUUAGAUACCCCAGUAGUCCUAGCCGUAAACGAUGGAUACUAAGUGUU